CCAGGGCUGGGGCCAAGAGGGGAGACCAGGGCUGGGGCCAAGAGGAGAGACCAGGGCUGGGGCCAAGCGGGGAGACCAGGGCUGGGGCCAAGCGGGGAGACCAGGGCUGGGGCCAAGAGGAGAGACCAGGGCUGGGGCCAAGAGGAGAGACCAGGGCUGGGGCCAAGAGGAGAGACCAGGGCUGGGGCCAAGAGGUGAGACCAGCGCUGGGGCCAAGAGGAGAGACCAGGGCUGGGGCCAAGAGGAGAGACCAGGGCUGGGGCCUAGAGGAGAGAGAGAGAGACCAGGGUUGGGGCCAAGAGGAGAGACCAGGGCUUGGGCCAAGAGGAGAGAGAGAGACACCAGGGCUGGGGCUAAGAGGAGAGACCAGGGCUGGGGCUACCAACCGUGCCAGCCUUGCCAGCUCUCUGCCAGUGCCUCGGGCUGUUCCUUCUGCAUGUGUCUGUGGGUGUAACAGGGAAAUCACUCUCUACUUCAGGAGAUCCCUGUAUGUUCCAGGCUGUUGGACGACCCCUCUUGGCUCCCCUGCCUGCUCUGCUCCGGUUAUAGAACAGUGUGAUUAUAAAGCAUGGUUUGGUCAGCCCACGCUAUAGUUAUAGCGUGUACAGUGAGCUGAAAAGGUAGUGGGACAAUGACACAUUUCUUGUUGUUUGUAAAAUGAUACAAUGACUAUGAGGUCAAAGGUCAGACUGUCAGCUUUAAUUUGAGGGUAUUUUCAUCCAUAUCAGGUGACCCGUUUAGAAAUUACAGCCCUUUUUGUACAUAGCCCCCCCCAUUUUAUGGGACCAAAAGUAUUGGGACAAAUUCACUGUGUUUUAAAGUAGCCAAGCGUUUAGUUUUUGGUCCCAUAUACCAAGCACACAAUCAGGGAAUGGGUAAAUGAGGACGGAGAGGGAGAAGGAAUGGGUAAAUGAGGACGGAGAGGGAGAAUGAAUGGGGAAAUGAGGACAGAGAGGGAGAAGGAAUGGGUAAAUGAGGACGGAGAGGGAGAAUGAAUGGGGAAAUGAGGACAGAGAGGGAGAGGAAAUGGGUAAAUGAGGACGGAGAGGGAGAAUGAAUGGGUAAAUGAGGACGGAGAGGGAGAAUGAAUGGGGAAAUGAGGACGGAGAGGGAGAAUGAAUGGGGAAAUGAGGACAGAGAGGGAGAAGGAAUGGGUAAAUGAGGACGGAGAGGGAGAAUGAAUGG
ensembl:lncRNA